rnacentral:tRNA from 1 species
UGCGUUCAUAGCUCAGCUGGUUAGAGCACCACCUUGACAUGGUGGGGGUCGUUGGUUCGAGUCCAAUUGAACGCACCAU